AGGGAAACCGAGUCUUAACCGGGCGUUAAGUUGCAGGGUAUAGACCCGAAACCCGGUGAUCUAGCCAUGGGCAGGUUGAAGGUUGGGUAACACUAACUGGAGGACCGAACCGACUAAUGUUGAAAAAUUAGCGGAUGACCUGUGGCUGGGGGUGAAAGGCCAAUCAAACCGGGAGAUAGCUGGUUCUCCCCGAAAGCUAUUUAGGUAGCGCCUCGUGAAUUCAUCUCCGGGGGUAGAGCACUGUUUCGGCUAGGGGGCCAUCCCGGCUUACCAACCCGAUGCAAACUGCGAAUACCGGAGAAUGUUAUCACGGGAGACACACGGCGGGUGCUAACGUCCGUCGUGAAGAGGGAAACAACCCAGACCGCCAGCUAAGGUCCCAAAGUCAUGGUUAAGUGGGAAACGAUGUGGGAAGGCCCAGACAGCCAGGAUGUUGGCUUAGAAGCAGCCAUCAUUUAAAGAAAGCGUAAUAGCUCACUGGUCGAGUCGGCCUGCGCGGAAGAUGUAACGGGGCUAAACCAUGCACCGAAGCUGCGGCAGCGACGCUGAUGCGUUGUUGGGUAGGGGAGCGUUCUGUAAGCCUGCGAAGGUGACCUGUGAGGGUUGCUGGAGGUAUCAGAAGUGCGAAUGCUGACAUAAGUAACGAUAAAGG
rnacentral:rRNA from 1 species